UAAUACGGAGACCUCGAGCGUUACUCGGAUUCACUGGGCGUAAAGGGUGCGUAGGCGGUCGCGUGUGUCAGGUGUGAAAUCCCGGGGCUCAACCCCGGAACUGCGCUUGAAACUACGCGACUUGAGUCUCGGAGAGGGUAGUGGAAUUUCGGGUGUAGCGGUGAAAUGCGUAGAUAUCCGAAGGAACACCAGUGGCGAAGGCGACUACCUGGACGAGUACUGACGCUGAGGCACGAAAGCGUGGGUAGCGAAAGGGAUUAGAUACCCCUGUAGUCCACGCCGUAAACGUUGCGCACUAGGUCUGGGGGGGUCUACCCCCUCGGGGCCCCAGCUAACGCGUUAAGUGUGCCGCCUGAGGACUACGGCCGCAAGGCUA
rnacentral:rRNA from 1 species